GAUGAAGAACGUAGCGAAAUGCGAUAAGUAAUGUGAAUUGCAGAAUUCAGUGAAUCAUCGAGUCUUUGAACGCACAUUGCGCCCGUCAGUAUUCUGGCGGGCAUGCCUGUUCGAGCGUCAUUACGCCCCUCAAGUCCCCUGUGGACUUGGUGUUGGGGAUCGGCGAGGCUGGUUUUCCAGCACAGCCGUCCCUUAAAUUAAUUGGCGGUCUCGCCGUGGCCCUCCUCUGCGCAGUAGUAAAACACUCGCAACAGGAGCCCGGCGCGGUCCACUGCCGAAAAACCCCCCAACUUUUUAUAGUUGACCUCGAAUCAGGUAGGACUACCCGCUGAACUUAAGCAUAUCAAUAAGCGGAGGA
rnacentral:misc_RNA from 1 species